UACGUAGGGGGCAAGCGUUGUCCGGAAUCAUUGGGCGUAAAGAGCGCGUAGGCGGUCCGGUAAGUCCGCUGUGAAAGUCAAGGGCUCAACCCUUGAAUGCCGGUGGAUACUGUCGGGCUAGAGUCCGGAAGAGGCGAGUGGAAUUCCUGGUGUAGCGGUGGAAUGCGCAGAUAUCAGGAGGAACACCAAUAGCGAAGGCAGCUCGCUGGGACGGUACUGACGCUGAGGCGCGAAAGCGUGGGGAGCGAACAGG
rnacentral:rRNA from 1 species